UAGGAGCUGAGGACUCUGGGUCACCUCCCACCCGUGUUUAUUUUACCUUGUUGCUUCGGCGGGCCCGCCUUAACUGGCCGCCGGGGGGCUUACGCCCCCGGGCCCGCGCCCGCCGAAGACACCCUCGAACUCUGUCUGAAGAUUGUAGUCUGAGUGAAAAUAUAAAUUAUUUAAAACUUUCAACAACGGAUCUCUUGGUUCCGGCAUCGAUGAAGAACGCAGCGAAAUGCGAUACGUAAUGUGAAUUGCAAAUUCAGUGAAUCAUCGAGUCUUUGAACGCACAUUGCGCCCCCUGGUAUUCCGGGGGGCAUGCCUGUCCGAGCGUCAUUGCUGCCCUCAAGCACGGCUUGUGUGUUGGGCCCCGUCCUCCGAUCCCGGGGGACGGGCCCGAAAGGCAGCGGCGGCACCGCGUCCGGUCCUCGAGCGUAUGGGGCUUUGUCACCCGCUCUGUAGGCCCGGCCGGCGCUUGCCGAUCAACCCGAAUUUUUAUCCAGGUUGACCUCGGAUCAGGUAGGGAUACCCGCUGAACUUAAGCAUAUCAAUAAGAGGAGGAA
rnacentral:rRNA from 1 species